rnacentral:sRNA from 1 species
AUAUUAACAUUUUAUACUCCGGAUUGAAUUUUAAAAUUGAUGAGUUAAAUCGAUACUAAUACAAGACGAUAUAUUACGAAUGAAAUAAUAUAAUUAUCUAUAUAUACAUUUUUGCAGCCAUUUUGUAAAAUAAAUCUUGGAGUUAGAACUUAUUUACAAUGGCAGCCACUGACUUUUAAUUAUUGAUUUUCUUUUAGCAAUAAAUUGAUUAACAAACAAAAAAUAUUUCAAAUAUAUUCCAAUCUCAUAUAUCACGCAGAUUUCUUCAAAAUUUGAACUAGAUUUCGGAAAUUAUUUAAAACAAAAAAUAUU